rnacentral:rRNA from 1 species
UGUCAACGAGUAAGACCUUCUGGCCCGAAAGGGUUGGAUAAACUGGUCAAUCACCGUCAUGACAGGGAUCGGGGCUUGGAAUUAUUCCCCGUGAACGAGGAAUUCCUAGUAAGUGCAAGUCAUAAGCUUGCGCUGAUUACGUCCCUGCCCUUUGUACACACCGCCCGUCGCUACUACCGAUUGAAUGGUUUAGUAAGGUCCUUGGAUCGACGCCUUUGUAGCUGCCACCGAAAGGUGUGCAGCUCGUGUGGUGUUGAGAAGACGACCAAAC